UACGGAGGGAGCUAGCGUUGUUCGGAUAUACUGGGCGUAAAGCGCACGUAGGCGGCGCGGCAAGUCAGGGGUGAAAUCCCGGAGCUCAACUCCGGAACUGCCCUUGAAACUGCAGUGCUAGAAUCCUGGAGAGGCGAGUGGAAUUCCGAGUGUAGAGGUGAAAUUCGUAGAUAUUCGCAAGAACACCAGUGGCGAAGGCGGCUCACUGGCCCGGUACUGACGCUGAGGUGCGAAAGCGUGGGGAGCAAACAGG
rnacentral:rRNA from 1 species